GAUGAAGAACGCAGCAAACUGCGAUACUUGGUGUGAAUUGCAGAAUCCCGUGAACCAUCGAGUCUUUGAACGCAAGUUGCGCCCGAAGCCACUAGGCCGAGGGCACGCCUGCCUGGGCGUCACACGCCGUUGCCCCCCCAUCUACUCCUUCGGGAUUGCGGGGGGGCGGAUGAUGGCCUCCUGUGCGCCUAGCCGCGCGGUUGGCAUAAAUACCAAGUCCUCGGCGACGCACGCCACGACAAUCGGUGGUUGCGAAACCUCGGUUGCCCGUCGUGUGCGUUCGUCGCGCAUCGAGGGCUCGAAAAAAUGCUCGGCUCCGGCUGGGCUUUCAACGCGACCCCAGGUCAGGCGGGGUUACCCGCUGAAUUUAAGCAUAUCAAUAAGCGGAGGA
rnacentral:misc_RNA from 1 species